rnacentral:rRNA from 1 species
GAAUCUGGCUUUAGGUCUGGGACAACCACUGGAAACGGUGGCUAAUACCGGAUGUGCCGAGAGGUGAAAGGUUAACUGCCUGAAGAUGAGCUCGCGUCUGAUUAGCUAGUAGGUAGUGUAAUGGACUACCUAGGCGACGAUCAGUAGCUGGUCUGAGAGGACGAUCAGCCACACUGGGACUGAGACACGGCCCAGACUCCUACGGGAGGCAGCAGUGGGGAAUUUUCCGCAAUGGGCGAAAGCCUGACGGAGCAAUACCGCGUGAGGGAGGAAGGCUCUUGGGUCGUAAACCUCUUUUCUCAGGGAAGAACACAAUGACGGUACCUGAGGAAUAAGCAUCGGCUAACUCCGUGCCAGCAGCCGCGGUAAUACGGAGGAUGCAAGCGUUAUCCGGAAUGAUUGGGCGUAAAGCGUCCGCAGGUGGCUAUGUAAGUCUGCUGUUAAAGAGUCUAGCUCAACUAGAUAAGAGCAGUGGAAACUACAUGGCUAGAGUGCGUUCGGGGCAGAGGGAAUUCCUGGUGUAGCGGUGAAAUGCGUAGAGAUCAGGAAGAACACCGGUGGCGAAGGCGCUCUGCUAGGCCGCAACU